rnacentral:rRNA from 1 species
UACGUAGGGUGCAAGCGUUGUCCGGAAUUAUUGGGCGUAAAGAGCUCGUAGGCGGCUUGUCGCGUCGGCUGUGAAAACCCGGGGCUCAACCCCGGGCCUGCAGUCGAUACGGGCAGGCUAGAGUCCGGCAGGGGAGACUGGAAUUCCUGGUGUAGCGGUGAAAUGCGCAGAUAUCAGGAGGAACACCGGUGGCGAAGGCGGUUCUCUGGGCAUUACCUGACGCUGAGGAGCGAAAGUGUGGGGAGCGAACAGG